UAUUCAGUUUUAAUGAAUUUAAAUGCAAUAGCCUCUUGCGGGUAGUGGUGAUCCUAUUGGACAGCAUAGGCCUGGAAGGCCAAGAGGAAAAGAACUGUUUUCCCUUAAACCUGGUUGCAGAAAGAGACAAGGAUCAUCUUGAGCAAAAUACACCCCUCCUCCCCCACUCAUAAACUCCUUAAAAAAAGAUGUCCUGGCCCUCAAGGGUUAACUCAAUAUAUCCUGCUGCCCAUGGUAUCCAAAGCUACCAGAUGGGAGAGUUGGAUGGUAGGGGAGGUGUGAAGUCCCCUGGUGGUUUCCAAGAUGAGAAGAGGAAAUGCCCUUUUGUAGCAUCCUGGAAUAUCAGCCUCCAGGUUGACUGUCUCAAGCAGUGGGACUGUUGCCUGGGAGACAAGGGGUACAGAAGACCCCUGGGGCAGCUGACCUGCAGCAGGGCCCGCCUUUGAAGGACAGUGGUUAAAAGCAAAGCAAGGAAAGGACCAGCAUAGGCUGGACUGGCAUGGGGUAGGAGGCCAGGAGGUGCUGGCAUGGCACCAGGUACGGAAGGGGCCAGGAGGAGCCUGCUGUGAUCAGAAGGCUGAAGAGAGGAAGGGCGGCAGCAGCUGCUAGGGGGGAGCUGGGGAGCAGCACAGGACACAGAGUGGAAACACAAGCAAGCUGGGCAGAAGUGGUGCCUACAAAUCCUUAUUGACCAGGAGCUAAAAACCCACAUUUUCAACUGACUGCUUUGGCCAUGCCAAGUGUAAUCCCACCAACCGAUGAAUAAGAGUAAAUGAACAGAGGGGGAAGCAGCUUGUGACUGUGCAAUCCCGGCACUCACCUCCCCUCUGUACCCUCUGUGGCUGCCACAAUGCCCUCCUUACCUCUGUUCCCCCAGCAGGACUCUUUUCUAAUUACUUCUAGCCAGGCUUGCCAAGUGUGUUUCCCACUGAAUUUCAUUUCCGGACCUGUUGAAUGCCAAAUUAAUUUUUAAUCACCCUGGAGGUGUUGAGUUUAAUUACCCAGAUUGGAAGUAACAAGGAAAACAGGAUGUUGAGGGUAACGUUUUGGGGGUGCUUCUCAGGAAGGGGACAAAGAGUUUCCAGGGUGCUGGGGGGAGGCAGGGAGUCUUGGCUUUCCAGCUACAGUGAUGGUGUGUUUAAGGCCCUGCUCUGCAGAAGACAGGCUGGGAGCACGAGGAGCCAGGCCAUGGGGUCCUUGGUGAAGCCCAAGCUUGUCACGAGAGUCUCAUCCAAGGACAAUAAAACUCAAGUAGACAACCAGCCCUGAUUACAAUUUCCUUUCCUGCGUGUGAAGAGAAUUCCAGUCAGUUCCUCGCAAGUCAUCAGUGCCUGCGCCAUGCACCGCUUCUGACAUCUGUAUCCGGUUGGAGGAGAAAGCCAGACCCCCACAGGUUGUGGGCUCCUCUCCACGUCCUCAAUAAAGGCCACUUUCUCUUUC